rnacentral:rRNA from 1 species
UACGGAGGAUCCGAGCGUUAUCCGGAUUUAUUGGGUUUAAAGGGUGCGCAGGCGGGAGAUUAAGUCGGCGGUGAAAUUUUGCAGCUCAACUGUAAAAGUGCCUUCGAAACUGGUUUCCUUGAGUGUAGAUGAAGUAGGCGGAAUUUGUGGUGUAGCGGUGAGAUGCAUAGAUAUCACGAGGAACUCCGAUUGCGAAGGCAGCUUACUAAGCUACUACUGACGCUCAGGCACGAAGGCGUGGGGAUCAAACAGGAUUAGAUACCCCU